rnacentral:rRNA from 1 species
UGGGGAAUUUUUGGACAAUGGGGGCAACCCUGAUCCAGCCAUGCCGCGUGAGUGAUGAAGGCCUUCGGGUUGUAAAGCUCUUUUGGCGGGGACGAUGAUGACGGUACCCGCAGAAUAAGCCCCGGCUAACUUCGUGCCAGCAGCCGCGGUAAGACGAAGGGGGCUAGCGUUGUUCGGAAUUACUGGGCGUAAAGCGAGUGUAGGCGGUUGCCGUAGUCAGGUGUGAAAGCCUUGAGCUCAACUCAAGAAAUGCACUUGAUACUGGGUGACUAGAGGACCGGAGAGGAUAGUGGAAUUCCCAGUGUAGUGGUGAAAUACGUAGAGAUUGGGAAGAACACCAGUGGCGAAGGCGGCUAUCUGGACGGUUACUGACGCUAAGACUCGAAAGCGUGGGGAGCAAACAGGAUUAGAUACCCUGGUAGUCCACGCCGUAAACGAUGGGUGCUAGACGUUGGCGAGCUUGCUCGUCAGUGUCGCAGCUAACGCGUUAAGCACCCCGCCUGGGGAGUACGGCCGCAAGGUUGAAACUC